CCACCCCUGGUCUAAUGGUUAGAAUAUCUGCCUUCCAAGUAGAUGGUCCGGGUUCGAUUCCCGGGCGGUGCA
rnacentral:tRNA from 1 species